GUUUUUCAGCUGGAGGACAAUUUGUUGAUGCAGUUCAGGAAGUACCAAGGUUCUCACAUCUAUUUACUUUAAGAACCCCUGGGCAGUCAAGAUGAUGAGGCAGCUAUGUGAUCUUGUGCCUGCUGGAAAUUCCUCUGACAUGAUGGAGCAAUGCAAGAUUUCCCCAUAAGAUAGUCAAUGCCUGUCAAGAUGUAUCAACAUUAUUCUGAAUAAUGAAGAAGCAGGGACAAGAUACAACCCACUAGACAGCUUGGUCAGUCCAGAAAGAGGCAGGACAGGCGCUGCAGCCAUCACCACUGUUACCCUGCAGACUUGAGUUGGUGACCAUCCACCUGGCUUUGGAGCACACCCACCAUCGCCAGGAGGCCACUGUGGUGCUGCACACCGACUCCAUGACCAGGCUGCAGGUCCUCCAGCAGCUACAUCCCAGCAACAAUGUUGAGCUAGUCAUUGCCAUCCUGGGUAGCCUCAAGAGUGUGACCACACAGGGGCGGCAGGCAGGUGAGGCUCAAUUGGAUACCCAGCCAUAUGGGAGUAGUGUGGAACAAGGCUGCUGAUGCAUAUGCCAGAAGAGCUGCUAUGGUUCCCUGGGUGACUGACACAUGCAGUAGGUUGAGAGAGAUAUCUGUGAUGUUUGUGGGAAUGGUGUGCAUUGAGGAAGGGGGGCUAGGUUAGAUGUAGAAGAGGUACCUCGACUGGAAUGUCUGGAUUAAGGAUGGCAAAAGAGUUAGUAAGAGGGACAAGUUUUAGGUAAAGAGGAUGGCAGAGGAAGAUGAGGGAGGGGAGGGGAGGAGGAGGGUACUGGAACGUUAUAAAACAAAUUGGGAAAAGAGUUGUGAAAUGGGAGCUAGUUGUUUGGUUUCAAUUCAAUAGGGUAAGGUCAAGAUUAUGGUGCAGGGCUGCUACUUCAGUCUCAAAUUUGUUGACAGGACAUAUUUUGCAGACACUGUGAAGGCCUUGGCAAUUACACAAGUGUUGGUGGUUGCAGAACAAUGAAGAGUCAGAUAGUGCAAUUUGGGCAGCAAGGUUGAGAUCAAUAGUAUUCCUGGAUGGCCGAAGCACCAGUACUUUCGGCACUGGUAUUGGAGAGGUGAAUGGAAAUGGGAUGUCCUGGUGAAUCCCAGAAGAGGCCACUCACCAAGCCAGGGCAGACUAUCUCCAACCACAGCCAACUGCCCCAAGUU